AUUUAAUGAUUUUUUGGGUAUGUAGUAUUUGCUCUUUUGAGUUUAAUAUAUAAUAUAAUACAUGGACCAUCUGCCCACAUUAUAUUAAAUUUAUUUUUUGUUAGGGGGAAGGCCUACUUACGGUAGCUUGCUGCUUACUUGGGCUUUUGAGCGUCGUCUGGGCUUCGCACUACUGCCUCGGCCUGGUGCACCCAAA